GGAAUCUUGCGCAAUGGGCGCAAGCCUGAUGCAGCGACGCCGCGUGGGCGAAGAAGGUUUUCGGAUCGUAAAGCCCUUUUCUGUGUGACGAGUAAGGACGGUAGCACAGGAAUAAGUGUCGGCUAACUACGUGCCAGCAGCCGCGGUAAAACGUAGGACGCAAACGUUAUCCGGAGUUACUGGGCGUAAAGCGCGAGCAGGCGGUUGAGUAAGUUACCUAUGAAAGCUCUCGGCUAAACUGGGAGAGGCUAGGUGAUACUGCUGAACUAGAGUGAGAAAGAGGGAAGUAGAAUUCCGGGUGUAGUGGUGAAAUGCGUAGAUAUCCGGAGGAAUACCAGUGGCGAAGGCGGCUUCCUGGUUCUCAACUGACGCUGAGACGCGAAAGCGUGGGUAGCG
rnacentral:rRNA from 1 species